GAUGAAGAACGCAGCGAAAUGCGAUAGGUAAUGUGAAUUGCAGAAUUCAGUGAAUCAUCGAAUCUUUGAACGCACAUUGCGCCCUUUGGUAUUACUUAGGGCAUGCCUGUUCGAGCGUCACCACACACCUUAUCACAAUAUUUGUGGUCUUGGCAGGAGUGAAUUGCUGGUCUAUGGAAGUAUUCCAGCAGUACACAAUGCUAAAAAAUAUGGGAAGGUUACCAGAUAUGAACAACAGACUUUGUAAAUGGUUGUAGGACCUAGAUCAGUCACAAGUCAUGUCUGGUCCCUUACCUUAAGGACCCCCAUCCUAGAUGAACUAUGGGUUGACCUCGGAUCAGGUAGGAAUACCCGCUGAACUUAAGCAUAUCAAUAAGCGGAGGA
rnacentral:misc_RNA from 1 species